CCUACGGGAGGCAGCAGUGAGGAAUAUUGGUCAAUGGACGAGAGUCUGAACCAGCCAAGUAGCGUGAAGGAUGACUGCCCUAUGGGUUGUAAACUUCUUUUAUAAAGGAAUAAAACGAGGCACGUGUGCCUUUUUGCAUGUACCUUACGAAUAAGGAUCGGCUAACUCCGUGCCAGCAGCCGCGGUAAUACGGAGGAUCCGAGCGUUAUCCGGAUUUAUUGGGUUUAAAGGGGGCGUAGAUGGGUUGUUAAGUUAGUUGUGAAAUGUUGCGGCUCAACCGUGUACUUGCAUUUGAUACUGGCAGGCUUGAGUGCAGUUGAGGUAGGCGGAAUUCAUGGUGUAGCGGUGAAAUGCUUAGAUAUCACAAAGAACCCCGAUUGCGAAGGCAGCUUACUAAGCUGUGACUGACGUUGAUGCUCGAAAGUGUGGGUAUCAAACAGGAUUAGAUACCCUAGUAGUC
rnacentral:rRNA from 1 species